AUCGAGCGGACCUUCGGGCCCGGCCAGACAGCGUUCCACCUACAAGAUUCCGCAAGGGAGCUACCACUUUCCCGCCGGAGAGCAGGCCCGCGAGACGGGAAGCCCAAGGCGGGAUACGCGGCGCCCACCUGCUUCGAUGUAGGGCGGAACCCUGAGGGGCCGGGCCGGUCCGCUCUUUU
rnacentral:other from 1 species